CCACCCAACCACCAACCACCCAACCACCAACCACCCAGCCACCAACCACACAAGCAUCCACAACCACUGUUGACAACCGGCCUUCAUCACUGAGUGACUGCUACCCUUUCCUCACUAACCGUCGGGAAUUUAUUCGAUGCUUGAGAUCCCUCUUCCAAAGGCUUUUGGAGGAGAGACGGGCUGAAAGGGAAAGGCGGCAGGAGGAAAGGAGAAGACAGGAGGAAGAGAGGAGGAGACAGAGGGAGCAGGAUCGACAGAGGAGACAG